GUGCCGCAGAAGCCCUGCCCGCCUGCUGCUUGGUGUUUAGCACAACACCCGGUGCCAAGCAGGUGUUCAGAGCUGAGAACGGUUGGAAAACUGGAUGGAAACAGCCGGGCCUCGAAGUGGGCAGUGGUGUGGCGAUUGAGCAGGUGCUGACAGCUGAGCCAUUCCACACACCUUUGGGGCAAAGAAGUGCCGGAAGCCAGGGCCAAGUUCAAAGACCAAACAUUCUUUCCAAGGCGACCAGAAGCACCCUGGAGGGCUGGCUCCUAGUUACAUAAACCGCAGUCCCGUCCCACUGUCCCAGAGCUGUUGAGGAGACGCUGAGGAUUGAAAAGGUGCAGACCGUUCCUGCUCGUCUCCGACACAUUUCCCAGGACUCCCAGCUCCGCCUGUCAGCAAGGAAGGGUGCGAUCAGGGGUACUUGGGAGCAGGGGAGCCAAGCCUCUAGACACAGGCAAUGUCAAUAACAGCAACGGAUAACCAAGAGGAAUAAGCCAAACACGGACGGAGAAGGAUCAGGAUCAGUCCGGUGAGAGGUUGUGACGUCAUCACUGGCAGCCCCAGGGAGAUGACGGAUGAGCCAUCUGUAUGCAUCGAAACUACAGACAUAAAUAAAAGUUGUACAGACUUGAGUUAGGCAGAUAAAACCACAUCACGCGUUAAUUGGUAUUUUCCUUAUCGUGGAGAGGGAACAUAUCUACCAGACAUUCAGGACCAGACACAUGACACACACUUCAGCAGGCUGAGAGGCAGGAAGAUCAUGAGUUCGAGGUCAGCCUGAGCUAUAAAGUGAGUUUCGGGCCAGUUUGGAUUAUAUGGUGAGUGUCCGUCUCGGAAUACAACACAACACAACACAACACAGCACUCAGGUCCAUUGAUUGAACAUUUAUUAGGUGCCAGGCCUUGUUGUCAGGGUCGCAUCCAGUUUUAUAGUGCUAUUGAGGCAGGGUACCAAUGCCUUUCAACUUCCCAAGAAUGAAAACUUCCCAAGCUCCUUUGCUUCCCUGCUGUAAGACCGUAGCUGAAGCCAGCUGCCUCCUCUGUACUGUGAUCUCUUUGAUGACCAUUGUUUUAACCCAAGGGCAGAAACAUGCUGGUAGGCAAGUUUAUGAAGUACUCCUAGUUUUAAAACAGGCUUACGGUAAGACCUCUAAUAAAAAUCAGCAGACUGCCUUAUGUUCAGUUUUCCUCUGCUACUAAAUCAUCUUUUCUUUCCUUUCUUUACAACUAAGCUUAGACAUUUACCAAACAAGCUUCAGAAAGCAGGACGGGAGACUGAGUGGCUCCUGGGUUCACAUAGGCAGGGAGCAGAGGCCGAGAUCCGCUUCCCUAGAGCUCUUCAAACCGAACGGACUUGCACUUGUUGCUUAAGUGUCUUGAGGCCUCUGUUUCCACAUCUGAGAAAUGGGGAAAUUGUGGUAUUUGUUGUGAAGAUAAUUCGAUUUAAAGAUUGGGUAACUGGGUCACGGAAGGCCACAAAAUGCCCCAGCAAAGGUAGCUUCUUCGUGUGUGUGUGUGUGUGUGUGUGUGUGUGUGUGUUUGUGUGCGUGCAUGUGAGUGUGCGUAUGUGUGUGCAUGUGCGCGUGUGCGUGUGUUUUUGUAUGUGUGUGUGUUUGUGUGUGUGUUUCUAUGUGUGUGUGCGUGUGUGUGUGAGUGUGUGUGUCUGUUUGUGUGUGUGUCUGUGUGUGUGUUUGUAUGUGUGCGUGUGUGUGUGUGUGUGUGUGUGUGUGUGUGUGUAUAGCUAUUGAUAGAUCCAUCAGUUCAUCUAUUUAUAACCAUGGAUAGCUCGGUGAGUGCAUAACAGGGAAAUCCAAACACACUGGUGGCCCAGUUACACCAUGGCUACUUUCUCCCCAGCAAACCUGCUAGGUCUCCUUUGCGGUUUUUAAAGGUAAGAUCCAGAUUGUCCAGCUUUCAUCCACCUCCUAGCUCCUCUGUUCUCUUUAUUCUUUCUUAUACUCCAGCUCUCUGUGUGUUGGUUGGAGAGGAGGAGGGAGAAGGGAGGGACUGAUAUCACUUACCUGUCCAUCCACGGCCACAGUCUAGUCAGACUAGGGAGGUUGAGCAUUAGAGGCAGGCGCCUAAGGGAUGGUGACCCAGUGAGUCAUUGGAAAGCCUGAUAGGCCUGACACCUCCCUCGGCUCCAUCCAGAGCCUCUAUCUUUGCAGGCAAUGAUGCAUUGUGCGGCUCAUCUGUCUGGUAUCUACUAACUUGCCUUCAUACUUACGUGUCACUUGCGGAUAUUUUCUCGGUACUCUGAGAGGUGGUCUAUUAGUCGGUUGCCCUUAACAACUCAUACCUUAAGUAAACAAUCCCAUGACACUUCUUUACUUCUCUAUGGCUGUCCCCACCUCCACCGAAUGUUGUUUACAUACUUCUCUGGGUUGCCACAUCAGACAGGAAACUCUUCUUGAUUGCAUUUUUCUGUUUUCUCAACUGUGUUGUGAGUCCCUGGAGUUGACCGGGCCUUCUCUUGCCGAGUGACUUGAAUACAGGCUUGUACAGUUUUGACAGGUGACGUUUUUGCCACUAUUUCUCAAUUACCUGAUUCAUCCUACAAACCCAUCUGUGAUUGCUCCAUUGUGUACAGGAACCCAGCAGUGGCCCUCACAACAUCGCUGUCUGACAGAGACAGAGAUGAGCUGGUGGUGCCAUCUGCUCUUGCUGUAGGAGGAGAAGCCUCUUCGUUCCAUUUCCUGUCCUUCUCCCUGUCUGCUCAGUAUCAGGAUAGACAGCCUAAAGAGCAGAAGCUGCCAUAAUGAAAACUUAAACAUGGACAGGAGACAACUUUCACACACUUAUUCAUUUUAGAGAUCUGUGUGGCGAGGUCAGGGUGGAGGACCUGCGUGCUGAGGGUCAGGUAGAGGGCCAAGGACAACUUGGGAGAGUCAUUUCUUUCCUGUAGCCAUUCUUUACUUCCUGAACCAUCACAUUGGUCGGAUCCAGGAACUUGUGUUUAGCACCCAUUUGACAGGAGUUUCUCAGUGUGGAACUCCAGCCCCUACCUCAUUUCUCUUCCCGUUUACUUUCUUAGCUUUCUCAUCGGCUGAUGAACUCAUCUGGUGUUCCUUAGACCAACACCUCUAGUCCCAUUUCACAGAGUCCAAAUCACAAAGGGGGAAAUGGUAUUUAUUUGGCGAAUUCCAUAUUGAAGGUAUUGUGCUGGGCACAAUAGAUACAUUGAAGAAGCCCCGCUUAGGAAGCUGAGGUGGAAGAUGGCAACUUUGAUGCCAGCAUGGUCCUGACUGCCUGUCUGAGACUGGGGAAGAGGCUGAGGGAGGAGAAGGAGGAAGAAGGGGAAGGAUAAGUUGCUAUUUUUGCUGGUAUGUUUUUAUUUUUCCACCAAUAAAGUGGCAAGUCUUUUAAGGAAGAAAACAUCUAGUGUUUCUUUAUGUCAUGACUUUUCCCUCUUGUAUUUUGGUUAGAACAAGUAACUCUUAUCACGGGAUAAGAGCUCUGGUCAUUGCCUCCCCCAACACCCUUCCCCCACUGAGGUCAAGCAAGCCACAAUGCCUGGGCUUGCAGCCCAGUCAGCCUACAGCACUAAACCUUUCUAUGAAGCUCUUACAGAAACGUGGUCUGCACCAGUGACCCUGUGGUCUGCACAGCUCACCACUCUGCUUUCUACACAAUUCAUUAAGCUGUGCCUGCUAACGCCCCGAGUGACUACUAGCCAGUAGCCACAUCUGGCGUGUGGCCUCUAGUCCUUUACUUGUUUACCUAUUCAUCUUUAUCACCAUCACCACCACCACCACCACCACCACCAUCAUCAUCAUCAUCAUCAUUAUAAUCAUCAUGGUUUUACAUUGCCCCACACCCUGCUUCUAAAUCCCAUUACAAUACCCCUUUCUCUUAUCGUCUGCUGAAAUGAGAUCAUUCCCCCAGCACCCCGACUUGACUCUAUCAUUCUAUACUUGGUUGCCAGGAAGUCUCUUCUGUGGUCAUGUCUUCAGCUGUAACCCAUAUUCUGUAGUUAGGACAGCAAUCUUGAUCACUCCAUGAGAGCAGAGACCUCAUGAUCUAGUCAUCCCGGAAGUGGCUCACUCUUCAAUGCCGCUGCACUGGAGAGUGUCUUUGGUUGUUUUCUGUUGCUAUAAUUGGAUGCUAGAGACUUGGUAACCUGUAAAAGAAACAAGUUUAUGCUGGCCCACCAUCCCAUAGUCCAAAAGUUGAAAUAUUGGUCUGUCUGACUUCCAUGCAGGGCCUCCUGAUGCUUGAACGCAUGACUGAAAGCAGAAAUAGGAAACGGUACUCGUGGGAUACAGAAAGGGGAGCCGAAUACAUGAGUGUAGACAGACAGACAGACAUACAGACAGACAGAAACACGCACACACAGGCCUUUCUGCCCUGACAGAAGCUUCUUAUUCCUAUUAUUCUGGAUGUGUGUUAAAUGAAUGUUCUAGAACGAGAAUGCAUUCUUUCAUUUUAGGAAGCACUUAAUGCAUCUAUGAUGUUUUUAACCCUGGAAACAAUACAGCAUAACAAGGCUAGAGAGAUGGCUUCGUGGGGAAAGUGCUUACUACAAAAAUCCAAUGACCCGAGUUCCAUCCCUGGGACCCGUGUGGUAGGAGGAGAGAACUGAUACCCAUACGUUGUCCUUUGACCUCCACAGGAGUGUUGUGGCAUGCUCAAACCAGCAUGCCACACACACACACACACACACACACACACACACACACACACAUACACACACACACACACACACACACACACGCAGACACACACAGAAUAAAUAAAUUACAUUAAAACAUGGUAUAUUUUUUCUAAAGCACACAAAUUUUACGUGCUCACCUUAAUGAAUUCUUAUGUAUGUGUCCAUCUAGGUAUAUCAGUGCUAUUGUGAUAUGCAAAUUUGAAGUAUGUUUCCUUUGUACAUGUAACUAACAACCUAUGUCCUUAAUGUUGUGUUAUGGUUUAUAUAUGUUUGGCCCAGGAAUGGCACUAUUAGGUGUGGCUCUCCGCCCAUUGAUGCCAAAUAAGGCCAUCCUCUGCCACCUAUUCGGCUGGUCCAUUCCUAUGUACUCUUGGGAUGGUGGUUUAGUCCCUGGAAGCAUUUGGGGGGGGGGGUCUUGUUGGUUGAUAUUGUUGUUGCUCUUAUGGAGUUGCAAACCCCUUCAGCUCCUUCAGCCCUUUCUCUCCUCCAUGGGGGACCCCAUUCUCAGUUCAAUAGUUGGCUGUGAGCAUCCUCAUCUGUAUUUGUCAGGCUCUGGCAGAGCCUCUCAGGAAACAGCUCUAUCAGGCUCCUGUCAGCAUGCACUUCUUGGCAUCUGCAAUAAUGUCUGGGUUUGGUGACUGUAUAUUGGAUGGAUGCCCCAGGUGGGGCAGUCUCUGGAUGGCCUUUCCUUCAGUCUCUGAUCCACACUUUUUUUUUUUUUUUUUGGUUCUUUUUUUCGGAGCUGGGGACCGAACCCAGGGCCUUGCGCUUCCUAGGCAAGCACUCUACCACUGAGCUAAAUCCCCAACCCUUCUGAUCCACACUUUAUAUCCAUUUUUCCUCCCGUGAGUAUUUUGUUCCCUCUUCUAAGAAGGACUGAAGUAUCCGCAGUUUAGUCAUCCUACUUCUUGAACGUCGUGUGGCCUAUAAAUUAUAUCUUGGGAUUUCCAAGCUUUUGGGCUAAUAUUCACUUAUCAGUGAGUGCAUACCAUGUGUGUGCUUUUGUGAUGAGGUUACCUUACUCAGGAUGAUAUUUUCUAGUCCUAUCCAUUUGCCCAAGAAUUUCAUGAAGUCAUUGUUUGUAAUAGCUGAGUAGUACUCCAUUGUGUAAAUGUACACUUUCUGUAUCCAUUCCUCUGUUGAAGGACAUCUGGGUUCUUCCAGCUUCUGGCUAUUAUAAAUAAGGCUGCGAUGAACAUAGUGGAGCAUGUGUCCUUGUUAUAUGUUGGAACAUCAUUUGGGUGUAUGUCCAGGAGUGGUACAGCAUGGGUCCCUAGGUAGUACUAUGUCCAAUUUUCUGAGGAACCUCCAGACUGAUUUCCAAAGUGGUUGUAUCAGCUCGCAAUCCCACCAACAAUGGAGGAGUGUUCCUCUUUCUCCACAUCCUCGCCAGCAUCUGUUGUCACCUGAGUUUUUGAUCUUAGCCAUUCUGACUGCUGUGAGGUGGAAUCUCAGGGUUGUUUUGAUUUGCAGUUCCCUGAUGACUAAGGAUGUUGAACAUUUUUUAGGUGCUUCUCAGCCAGUCAAUAUUCUUCAGUUGAGAAUUCUUUGUUUAGCUCUGUACCUCAUUUUUAAUAGGGUUAUUUGGCUCUCUGGAGUCUAACUUCUUAACUUCUUCGUAUAUAUUGGAUAUUAGCCUUCUAUUGGAUGUAGGAUUGGUAAAGAUCUUUUCCCAAUCUGUUGGUUGCCAUUUUGUCCUAAUGACAAUGUCCUUCACCUUACAGAAGCUUUGCAGUUUUAUGAGGUCUCAUUUGUCGAUUCUUGAUCUUAGAGCAUAAGCCAUUGGUGUUAUGCUUAGGAAAUUUUACCCUGUGCCCACAUGUUCAAGGCUCUUUCCACUUUUUCUUCUAUUAGGUUGAGUGUAUCUGGUUUUACGUGGAAGUCCUUGAUCCACUUGAACUUGAGCUUUGUACAAGGCAAUAAGAAUAGGUCAGUUUGCCUUCUUUUACAUGCUGACCUCCAGUUGAACCAGCACCAUUUGUUGAAAAUGCUGUCUUUUUUUCCACUGGAUACUUUUAGCUCCUUUGUCAAAGAUCAAGUGACCAUAGGUGUGGGGGUUCAUUUCUGGGUCUUCAAUUCUAUUCCACUGGUCUAUCUGCCUGUCUCUGUACCAAUACCAUACAGUUUUUAUCACUAUUGCUCUGUAAUACACCUUGAGGUCAGGGACGGUGAUUUCCCCAGAAGUUCUUUUAUUGUUGAGAAUUGUUUUUGCUAUCCUGGGCUUUUGUUAUUCCAGAUGAAUUUGCAAAUUGCUAUUUCUAACUCUGUGAAGAAUUGAGUUGAAAUUUUGAUGGGAAUUGUAUUGAGUCUGUAGAUUGCUUUGGGCAAAAUGGCCAUCUUUACUAUAUUAAUUUUCCCAAUCCAUGAGCAUGGGAGAUCUUCCCAUCUCCUAGAUCUUCUUCAAUUUCUUUCUCCAGAGACUUGAAGUUCUUGUCAUACAGAUCUUUCACUUGCUUGGUUAGAGUCACACCAAGGUAUUUUAUAUUAUUUGUGAUUACUGUGAAAGGUGUUGUUCCCCUAAUUUUUUUCUCAGCCUGUUUAUCCUUUGUUUAGAGGAAGGCUACUGAUUUGUUUGAGUUAAUUUUAUAUCCAGCUACUUUGCUAAAGUUGUUUAUCAGCUGUAGGAGUUCUCUGGUAUAAUAUUUGGGGUCACUUAAGUAUCUAUCAGAUCAUCUGCAAAUAGUGAUAUUUUGACUUCCUCUUUUCCAAUUUGUAUCCCUUUGACCUCCUUUUGUUGUCUGUUUGCUCUGGCUAGGACUUCGAGUACUAUAUUGAAUAAAUAGGGAAAGAGUGGGAAACCUUGUCUAGUCCCUGAUUUUAGUGGGAUUGCUUCAAGUUUCUCUCUAUUUAGUUUGAUGCUGGCUACUGGUUUGCUGUAUAUUGCUUUUACUAUGUUUAGGUAUGGGCCUUGAAUUCCUGAUCUUUCCAAGACUUUUAACAUGAAGGGGUGUUGAUUUUUGUCAAAUGCUUUUUCAGAAUCUAAUGAGAUGAUCAUGUGGGUUUUCCCCUCCUCUUUGAGAUUGUUUAUAUAGUGGAUUACAUUGAUGGAUUUCCAUAUAUUGAAACAUCCCUGCAUCCCUGGGAUGAAGCCUACUUGGUCAUGAUGGAUGAUCAUUUUGAUGUGUUUGAUGGUUUCAUUGAGUAUUUUUGGAUCGAUAUUCAUAAGGGAAUCUGUUCUGAAGUUCUCUUUUGUUGGAUAUUUGUGUGGUUUAGGUAUAAGUGUAAUUGUGGCUCCAUAGAACGAAUUGGGUAGGGUUCCUCCUGUUUCUAUUUUGUGGAAUACUUUGGAGAGUAUUGGUAUGAGGUCUUCUAUGAAGGUCUGACAGAACUGAGCACUAAACCCAUCUGGUCCUGGGCUUUUUUUGGUUGGGAGACUUUUAAUGACUGCUUUUAUUUCUUUAGGGACUUUGGGACUGUUUAGAUGGUUGAUCUGAUCCUGAUUUAACUUUGGUACCUGGUAUCUGUCUAGAAAAUUGUUCAUUUCCUCCAGAUUUUCCAGUUUUGUUGAGUAUAGGCUUUUGUAAAAGGAUCUGAUGAAUUUUUGAAUUUCCUCAGAUUCUGUUUUGUCUCCCUCUUCAUUUCUGACUUUGUUAAUUUGGAUACUCUCUCUGUGCCCUCUGUUUAGUCUGGCUAAGUGUUUAUCUAUCUUGUUGAUAUUCUCAAAGACUCAGCUCCUGGUUUUGUUGACUCUUUUUGUUCCUACUUGGUUGAUUUCAGCCCUGAGUUUGAUUAUUUCCUGCCUUCUACUCCUCUUGGGUGUAUUUGCUUCUUUUUGUUCUAGAGCUUUCAGGUGUGCUGUGAAGCUGCUAGUGUAUGCUCUCUCCUGUUUCUUUUGGAGGCCCUCAGACCUAUGAGUUUUCCUUUUAGCACUGCUUUCAUUGUAUCGCAUAAGUUUGGGUAUGUUGUGCUUUCAUUUUCAUAAAACUCUAAAAAGUUUUUAAUUUCUUUAUUUCUUUCUUGACCAAGUUAUCAUUGAGUAGAUCUUUGUUCAGAUUUCAUGUGUAUUUGGGCUUUCUGUAAAUUUUGUUAGUUCAUGGUGAUCUGAUACAAUACAUGGGAUUGUUUCAAUAUUCUUGUAUCUGUUUAGGCCUGUUUUGUGACCAAUUUUAUGGUCAACUUGGAGAAGGUACCAUGAGGUGCUGAGAAGAAAGUAUAUUCUUUUAUUUUAGGAUGAAAUGUUCUAUAGAUACCUGUUAAAUCCAUUUGGUUCAUAACUUCUGUUUCACUGUGUCUGUUUACUUUCUGUUUCCAUGAUCUCUCCUUUGAUGGGAGUGGGGUGUUGAAAUCUCCCACUAUUAUUGUGUGAGGUGCAAUGUGUGCUUUGAGCUUUAGUAAGGUUUCUUUUAUGAAUGUGGGUGUCCUUGCAUUUGGAGCAUAAAUAUUCAGAAUUGAGAAUUCAUCCUGAUGGAUUUUUUUCUUUGACGAGUAUGAAGUGUCUGUCCUUACCUUUUUUGAUAACUUUUCGUUGAAAGUCUAUUUUAUUUGAUAAUAGAAUGGCUACUUCAACUUGUUUCUUGGGACCAUUUGCUUGGAAAAAUUUUUCCUAGCCUUUUACUUCGAGGAAGUGUCUGUCUAUGUCACUGAGGCAUGUUUCCUGUAUGUACCAAAAUGCUGGGUCCUGUUUACAUAUUCAGUCUGUUAGUCUAUGUCUUUUUACUGGAGAAUUGAGUCCAUUGAUGUUGAGAGAUAUUAGGGUCCCAUGAUUAUUGUUUCCUGUUAUUUUUGUUGUUAGAGGUAGAAUUAUGUUUUUGUGGCUAUCUUCUUUUGGGUUAGUUGAAAGAAGAUUACUUUCUUGCUUUUGUGUAGGGUGUAGUUUCCCUCCUUGUCUUGGAAUUUUUCCAUCUAUUAUCCUUUGUAGGGCUGGAUUUGUGGAAAGAUAUUGUGUAAAUUUGGUUUUGUCAUGGAAUAUCUUGGUUUCUCCACUUAUGUUAAUUGAGAGUUUUGCUGGCUAUAGUAGCCUGGCCUGGCAUUUGUGUUCUCUUAGUGUCUGUAUGACAUCUGCCCAGGAUCUUUUAGCUUUCACAGUCUCUGUUGAGAAGUCUGAUGUAAUUCUGAUAGGUCUGCCUUUAUAUAUUACUUUACCUUUUUUCCAUACAUUUUUAAUAUUCUGUCUUUGUUUUGUGCAUGUGGUAUUUUGACUAUUAUUUGACAGGAGGAAUUUCUUUUCUGGUCCACUCUAUUUGAAGUUCUGUAUGCUUCUUGUAUGUUUAUGGGCAUCUCUUUCUUUUGGUUAGGGACGUUUUCUUUUAUAAUUUUGUUGAAGAUAUUUACUUGCCCUUUAAGUUUGGAAUCUUCACUCUCUUCUAUACCUAUUAUCCUUAGUUUUGAUCUUCUCAUUGUGUCCUGGAUUUCUUGGAUGUUUUGAGUUAGGAGCCUUUUGCGUUUUGCAUUAUCUUUGACAUUUGUGUCAAUGUUUUCUGUGGUAUCUUCUGCCCCUGAGAUUCUCUCUUCUAUCUCUUGUAUUCUAUUGGUGAUACUUGCAUCUAUGACUCAUGAUCUCUUUCCUAGGUUUUCUAUCUCCAGGGUUGUCUCCCUUUGUGCUUUCCUUAUUGUUUCUAUGUCCACUUUUAAAUUCUGGAUGGUUUUGUUCAAUUCCUUCACCUGUUUGGUUGUGUUUUCCUGUAAUUCUUUAAAGGAUUUCUGUGUUUCCUCUUUAAGGACUUCUACUUGUUUACCUGUGUUGUCCUGUAUUUCUUAUAUUUUUGGUUGUGAGCCUAGCCUUUAACAGCUGAGCCAUCUCUCCAGCCCUGUCCUGUAUUUCUUUAAGCAAGUUAUUUAUGUCCUUCUUAAAGUCAUCUAAUAUCAUCAUGAGAUGUGAUUUUAAAUCAGAAUUGUGCUUUUCUGGUAUGUUGGGGUAUCCAGAACUUGCUGUGGUGGGAGAACUGGGUUCUGAUGAUGCCAAGUGGCCUUGGUUUCUGUUGCUUAGGUUCUUGCACUUGCCUCUCGACAUCUGCUUAUCUCUGGUGUUAGCUGGUCUUGCUGUCUCUGACAGUGGCUUGACCUUCCCGUAAGCCUGUGUGUCAGCACUCCUGGGAGAUGAGAUGAGCUCUAUCCCUGUGGGAUCUGGGUACAAAGAGCUGUGGCACUGGGUCAGCUCCAGGCGCAGACAGAAACUGGAAGGAUCCUGUCCCAGACUGCUCCUGUGUCCUGAAGGCUUUAGGUGGGUCCCUCUGAACAGAAGUGGUGAUCUCAUCUGUGUUCUCAGGUGUGUCAGCACUCCUGGGAGACCAGCUCUCUCCUGGCGGGAUCUGAGUACAGAGGGCUGUGGAACAGGUUCAGCUCAGGGUGCAGGCAGAAACCGGAAAAGAUUACGUUAACUUUUAAUUCCACCUUGCAACCCUCUAGUUCAAAAUUCUGUUCUUGUUUCUAUCAGGACACUGAAUCUGAGUGCUGAGAGGAAGAAAGGUGGGUAGUGACCCAGUGUUACUCUGGGGUACAGGUUCCUCCCUAAGGUGAACGUAAGAGUCAACCAUAGUAUCCUCACUUUAUAGAUGAAGAAAUUGAGUUUCAAAUGUAUUCUGUCCUUGGUUCUACAGUUAGACAGAGUUUGAAACUCUGUCUCUGUGGUACCAAGUCUUUAUUCUUUCUUUUAGACUAUUGGCAAGAUGUUAUGAUGUAUUUUCUUUAUUUUAGUUUUCCUGAAAGCAAAGCCUGAGGUAUUUUAUCUGGAAAGUGAUCCUAGAGAAUAAGAGCGGGGAGCAAGGGGUAUGAGACAGAAAAGCCAGGAAGCCCAUACAUGGAUGACCUCUUGGUUUGGCUAUAACUGAGGUCAGCUUCUGUCCUUUCUUCUCAACUCUUCUUAGGCGACUUAGGAGGUGUGUCAUAACACCAUCCAUCUAGAAGACCCAAGGAGAACGGGAUAUCUAGUAGUUUUCAUCAUCCAGUGGCCAAAGGCACCACAAUGUUAGAUGUCUUCUGAUUUCUGGGUUGUAAUGUGUUGGUAUCAAGGAGACUCUCCUUCCCUUUAUACCUCACAAUGGUCCAAGACAAGACCUGAUACAGAAGAAAAGGAGUCAAGGUGAAGGCCCCCGUAAGACACAGUCAAAGUGCUAUUAGGUGAAACUGGACCAAGAUGACAUGUAGCUGAAUGCUACCAUGGGCUGAGGAUGCAACGCUGGGUCUUGUGCUUAGCUGGUGCUCUAAUCCCUGAGCUGUAUUCCCUAGGCUGUACUUGAAUUAUCAGUAACUCUCAGAUGUCUGAACCCAUGAAUAAUGAAAGAGUUCAUGGAUAAAAUCUGUUUGCCACAGAAAGGUAGGGUCUUUGUCUGCCUAGUAUCUUUACCCUGUUCUCCAUACAGAACUACCUUAAAAUUUUUUAUUGCAUUUAUUUAUUUACUAUAUGUGUGCAUGUAUGUGUGUGAGCAUGCACACACGUGUGCAUAUGUAUCAUGGCACAUGUGUUGAGAUAGCAACUUGUGGGAAUUGGUUCUUUCCUUUCCUUAUAUGGGUCUCAGGAAUCAAACUCAGGUCAUUGGCCAUCCAUCUGGGUUUAGAGCAAGCACUCUUACCUGCCCAGCCAUCUUGUGAGCCCCAGAACUACUUUCUUUUAAAUGAAGGAAUUUCCUAGCUUACCAGAGUCUUACCAACAUAACUAAGUCCACUUAAAUCAGACUAAUCAAUUCCCUUGGCUAGGCAUAAGUAUGGAAUGUUAAAGAGGCCAAUAUAACUUUCAUGAGAUUUGAUAUUUAUGUGUUUACUGAGGAGGAAUGUCUCUCCACUCUCCAUAAAUUUCAGAUCAUAAACUAUACAGGCGAUAUAAACUGGAGUUGCUUGCUUGCUUCCUCUUCCUCCUCCUCCUCCCCCUCUUCCUCCUCCUCUUCCUCCUCUUCCUCCUCUCCCCCUCCUCCUCUCCCUCUUCCUUCUCCCCACCUCCUCUUCUUUCUUUUCUUCUUUUGGAGUUACUUUCUCUUACCUUUGCAGACUUCGUGGAGAGAGCUAUGAGUCUUAAGCUAACAGAGAAGCACAAUGAAGAAAGGUGGGGGUGGAUGGAGAGUCAGGAUCCUAAGAUCAUCAUUUGGACCUUGAAUCCUGCUAUUUCUGAAGACAAACACAAUCUUUUGUACACACUGAGUUUCCAUCCAAUUUCAUUUUGAGGUCUUAAAAGCUGCAGAGUAAGGAGAUCAGAUGAAUGCAUGUGUUUGUUAUUAGCAAUAAACAUCUGUGGUGUCCCAGCUGGACUUAUUUUAUCCUGGAAAUGUCUGCUCAGUUCUGUUCCCCAUGAGGACACACUGGCCAGUUCUGCCGGACAGAGGACUUGGUGACACAACACAUCAUGCUUUUCACACAGUGGGUGAAAUCCUCAGCCCCAUCCAUUUUGAAUCCAACCUACAGCUUGAUUCUGGCCUUCUGAAAUCAAUAUGCCUGUGAGGAUUCAGUGAUCAGCUCACAUUUGACAGUGAUAGCAUGGUACCCAGCAGCCUCCUGGUCCUCCUGGUAUCAUGGUCCAUGGUGCCAAUCAUAGUUUCUGAAGGCAAUCAGACCAGGGCAUCUCCAAAUAUGCCACUUUGGUACGAUGACUACUUUGAGCAUUGGAAAUAGCAGAAGCAGGACGAGUUUUAUCACCUCCUCUCUUCUACCUGAAAUAGACCACAAAGCUUCCCACUCGCCAGAUAUUCUCCCUAAACCAGCAAGGAAAGAACAUCUUUAUCACCAGACACUGUGAACUGACUCUAAAAUGGAGCUGUACAGAUUAACCCACUGAGAGGAUCCUCAUCCUGUUUUAGUUCAUCACUCUCAUAUGCAUCCCUAGUGACUUUGCCAGAGUUCAUUUGAGUUAGUCACAGACCUGGAAAGAACAUACAGGAGAUUUUCUAUUUCUUUCCUAAUAAGCCCUUAAAGAUCCCAAAUGGUUUGGGCCACAUUUCUUCUCCUUGUUCUUUAUGCAUGCUAAGUCAUAGGGGUUUGAUGCCUUUCCUUUUACUGUUAACACACAGUGAGGUGUUGAGGGGUAGCACAAAAGACACACAACGUGUCUGUGAUUCAGAGAGUGCAUUAUAGUAUAGGAGGAGAAUGCUGAAUGCUAAAACAGGGAUAGUUAAGGGAGAGUUGCAGGGACCUAAGCAAAGACUUAGUUCACUCAGGUUAUGGGAAUCAAGGAAGAUUCAUGGGAGAUUUUCAAUAGUCCAUGUAGGAGGAAUGAAAUGGAGUCAAAGACCAAUGAAUUGAAGUGUUCUUGGAUGACAACUUCAGAUUCCUUGAGCAGAGGAGCAGGUAGAGUGGGCCAGCUUAGGAAGACACCAUGAGCUAAUUUCAAAAGUCACUAAUGGAUUUCUUUGUUAUUUUUCCAAACUAUGGAGUUAGAAAACUCAAACAUCAGCGUUCCCAGCUUCCCUUGCAGCUACGCAUUACUGAACUCUAAGAAAGUACAGAGGGUGUAAUAGAUGGAAGUCAUAGAUGGCAUGUGUAGAUAUACUUAGCUUGGGUUUCCCAUCUUCUACUUCUUACAUGGUAAUGCACAAGAGUAUUGAAGGGCAUACAAGCCAUAGUAAUACCAAGAAAGAGACUACAUUCACAAAAUGGCAGAGAAGAAAGGCAGAAAGAACUUAUUUCCUCAGGCACAACACCUGGUUACUAUGAAACUCUAGACCACUUUCCUGAAUAUUCUUUAAUAUGUGUGACCAAUAAUAACAAUAAUAAUUCUAAGUUAGUGGAGCUGCUCUAUUGGUUGAGAGCCUUCUUAGCACACGUUAAGGUCUGGGUUCAGUUCCCAGAACCCCAGCACCCCAUUCCAGGUACACACCUGUAAUCCCAGCACUUGGGAGAUAGAGGAAGAAGGAUCAGAAGUUCAAGGUAGCUUUGGUUACACAGUAAGUUUGAGGCCAGUCUAGGGUACAUAAGACUUUAUUUUAAAGAAAAAAAUUCUUAUUUUAGUGAAGUCUUAGGUUUUCCAUUAUCUCCAGCUGAUCAAGCUAUAUGCUGAAAAUAACUAUGUUACUGAAAAAACUGAAGUUUACUCAAAGUCCUUUCUGCAUGGAGGCAGGGGAAUGUCUGUCAUUCUGGGAAAAGUGUCCCCGGUAGCUUUUUACUGUUUACACUCAUCAAGGCUCAGUUGAGAGCUGACUUCUUUGUAGACGCUUUGACCUCUGUCUUGGUCUUCUCUAGACUCACUAGUUGGCUGUUGGUCAAUUUGUAAGUAUAAAUACAUGAUAUGUAUUGAUGCUGAUUCUUGGUAGAUAAGUUUUAUUCAGCUCUAACCAUACUUUAAGUACAGUUAUCCAGUACUGUUACCAGUUCUUCUUGCAUUUAUGCUAGGAAUCCCCAGGAGGAAGAUAAGUACCUUGUAGGAGGUGACUAUGCUUUACAUUUUCUCAAAAUGCCCAGUCUGGGUAGCCAAACUGUGAAUGACAAGUAUCAGAGUCACGGGUUUGAAUCCUGGCCCCUUCACCAAAUAUUUGAAGACUUUAGACAAGUUUCCUAACCUUUAUAUGCUUCAAUUUCCUUACCUGAAGAAUGGAAGUUUAUAAAAAAUGUACCCUUAAAGUUAUUAUGAAAUGAAAAUGAAACAUUUUCAUAAAUUGACUAGCACUGUUUUUAUUAUCAUUGCAUGUGCAGAAGAUAGACUAUGCUAACAACCAUCCCUGUAUCCAUGGGCUUUUCAGUGUGAUAUCGCAGCUCUUCCCAUUGUGAAAUGGACUCCAUUGUCUUACUCCUCAAUCUACAUGGGUCUUGUGGCAUUCUCUGGACGAUAAAGUAUGGAAAAAUAAUACUGGAUUUCAUCUCAAUCUAGACCUCAAGAGACCUUGUACAUACCCAUUUUCCAACUCAAGACCCUGUCCUUGCCAUAAGAACAAUCUAGAACACUGUCUGCCAGAGGAUACAAGUCUUUGUGGUGCCAAGUGGCUAUGUGCACCUUCUCAGUCCUAGAUGCAUAUGAAUGAGUCCAGCCAAGAUCAGGGAACUCUUUCAUUAAUGAGCAACAAUAAAUGGUUCUGUUGUU